rnacentral:rRNA from 1 species
UGGCGGACGGGUGAGUAACGCGUGAGCAACCUGCCCUUCGGAGGGGGAUAGUGUCUGGAAACGGACAGUAAUACCGCAUAACGUAUUUUUACCGCAUGAUAGAAAUACCAAAAACUGAGGUGCCGAAGGAUGGGCUCGCGUUGGAUUAGAUAGUUGGUGGGGUAACGGCCUACCAAGUCGACGAUCCAUAGCCGGACUGAGAGGUUGAACGGCCACAUUGGGACUGAGACACGGCCCAGACUCCUACGGAAGGCAGCAG